UCGAGCGAACAGAUAAGGAGCUUGCUCCUUUGACGUUAGCGGCGGACGGGUGAGUAACACGUGGAUAACCUACCUAUAAGACUGGGAUAACUUCGGGAAACCGGAGCUAAUACCGGAUAAGAUUUUGAACCGCAUGGUUCAAUAGUGAAAGACGGCCUUGCUGUCACUUAUAGAUGGAUCCGCGCCGUAUUAGCUAGUUGGUAAGGUAACGGCUUACCAAGGCAACGAUACGUAGCCGACCUGAGAGGGUGAUCGGCCACACUGGAACUGAGACACGGUCCAGACUCCUACGGGAGGCAGCAGUAGGGAAUCUUCCGCAAUGGGCGAAAGCCUGACGGAGCAACGCCGCGUGAGUGAUGAAGGUCUUCGGAUCGUAAAACUCUGUUAUCAGGGAAGAACAAACGUGUAAGUAACUGUGCACGUCUUGACGGUACCUGAUCAGAAAGCCACGGCUAACUACGUGCCAGCAGCCGCGGUAAUACGUAGGUGGCAAGCGUUAUCCGGAAUUAUUGGGCGUAAAGCGCGCGUAGGCGGUUUUUUAAGUCUGAUGUGAAAGCCCACGGCUCAACCGUGGAGGGUCAUUGGAAACUGGAAAACUUGAGUGCAGAAGAGGAAAGUGGAAUUCCAUGUGUAGCGGUGAAAUGCGCAGAGAUAUGGAGGAACACCAGUGGCGAAGGCGACUUUCUGGUCUGUAACUGACGCUGAUGUGCGAAAGCGUGGGGAUCAAACAGGAUUAGAUACCCUGGUAGUCCACGCCGUAAACGAUGAGUGCUAAGUGUUAGGGGGUUUCCGCCCCUUAGUGCUGCAGCUAACGCAUUAAGCACUCCGCCUGGGGAGUACGA
rnacentral:rRNA from 1 species